CACCGCGGUUAUACGAGGGGCCCAAAUUGACACUCCAUCGGCGUAAAGCGUGAUUAGAGAAACUAAGAAAUAAAGCCAAAUAGCCCUUAUGCUGUCAUACGCAAAUGGGGCCCAAGAAGCCCAACGACGAAAGUGACUUUAAUAACCUUGAACUCACUACAGCCAGGGUA
rnacentral:rRNA from 1 species